CCCGCACAAGCGGUGGUAGUAUGUGGUUUAAUUCGAUGCAACGCGAAGAACCUUACCUGGUCUUGACAUCCACGGAACUUUCCAGAGUAUGGAUUGGUGCCUUCGGGAACCGUGAGACAGGUUGCUGCAUGGCUGUCGUCAGCUCGUGUUCGUGAGAUGUUUGGGUUAAGUCCCUGCAACGAGCGCAACCCUUGUCCUUAGUUGCCAGCUACGUAAUGGUGGGUAACUCUAAGGAGACCGCCGGUGACAAACCGGAGGAAGUGUGGGGAUGACGUCAAUGUCAUCAUGGCCCUUACGACCAGGGCUACUACACGUACUACAAUGGUAGGGACAGAGGGCUGCAAACCCGCGAGGGCAAG
rnacentral:rRNA from 1 species